UACGUAGGGGGCUAGCGUUGUCCGGAAUCAUUGGGCGUAAAGCGCGUGUAGGCGGCCCGGUAAGUCCGCUGUGAAAGUCCAGGGCUCAACCCUGGAAUGCCGGUGGAAACUGUCGGGCUGGAGUCCGGAAGAGGCGAGUGGAAUUCCUGGUGUAGCGGUGAAAUGCGCAGAUAUCAGGAGGAACACCAAUGGCGAAGGCAGCUCGCUGGGACGGUACUGACGCUGAGACGCGAAAGCGUGGGGAGCAAACAGG
rnacentral:rRNA from 1 species